AACCCCUGCCAUCAGUUGCUACGCAAGAGCACUCUAAUGGGACCGCUACCGACAAGGUGGAGGAAGGUGGGGAUGACGUCAAAUCAUCAUGCCCCUUAUGUGCUGGGCUACACACGUAAUACAAUGGUCGUUAACAAAGAGAAGCAAUACCGCGAGGUGGAGCAAAACUUCAAAAACGAUCUCAGUUCGGACUGUAGGCUGAAACUCGCCUGCACGAAGUUGGAAUUGCUAGUAAUCGUGGAUCAGCAUGCCACGGUGAAUACGUUCCCGGGUCUUGUACACACCGCCCGUCACACCAUGGGAGCCGGUAAUACCCGAAGUCAGUAGUCUAACCUUAAUGGAGGACGCUGCCGAAGGUAGGAUUGGCGACUGGGGUGAAGUCCUAACAAGGUGCGCCC
rnacentral:rRNA from 1 species